rnacentral:rRNA from 1 species
AACGAACGCUGGCGGCAGGCUUAACACAUGCAAGUCGAACGCAUCCUUCGGGGUGAGUGGCAGACGGGUGAGUAACGCGUGGGAACGUGCCCUUCAGUUCGGGAUAACCCAGGGAAACUUGGGCUAAUACCGGAUACGUGCGAGAGCAGAAAGAUUUAUCGCUGAAGGAUCGGCCCGCGUCUGAUUAGGUAGUUGGUGGGGUAAUGGCCCACCAAGGCGACGAUCAGUAGCUGGUCUGAGAGGAUGAUCAGCCACAUUGGGACUGAGAAACGGCCCAAACUCCUACGGGAGGCAGCAGUGGGGAAUAUUGGACAAUGGGCGCAAGCCUGAUCCAGCCAUGCCGCGUGAGUGAUGAAGGCCUUAGGGUUGUAAAGCUCUUUUGUCCGGGACGAUAAUGACGGUACCGGAAGAAGAAGCCCCGGCUAACUUCGUGCCAGCAGCCGCCGUAA